CGAGCGCCGUUGUACUACUAAGGCUCAGCCUUGCGGUGGCUGCUUCCUUUUGGUCUUUUGACAGAAAGGAACGGCCCAAACCAAUGGGCGUCUCUGUGAGACUGUUCAGCGUAGCAAGUCAAUCGCUUUCCAGUCGACGCAAAGGCGCCAGUCAACGAACGUUUGGCCUCGGAUCAGGUAGGGAUACCCGCUGAACUUAA
rnacentral:misc_RNA from 1 species